UCUAAUAUGGCAGAUUANUG
rnacentral:tRNA from 1 species